AAGAGAGAGAAUAGGGAUGAAGCAUCUUUAAACUUACAACAAAUCAUUUUAUAUUGAUAGAGUCCUGGGCUUAAAUCCAAGCCCAGCUAUUGCCUUAAUGCAGACUGAUUUCAGGAGACUUAAAAAUAGCCAAGAUCCUCUGGUGAUUGGCAGCCAUUGUGGAGACAGCUGCCAAAGUCAAAUUGAUUUUUUUUUUUUCCCUUUUGAAGGACUCCACAUAAUUUAGGCAAAGCUACAAAUUAAAGCAUACACAGAGUGAUGACUCCUGGAUGAUUUAAACCACUCAGGCCCCAGAAGGGGAUCUACUCCUCCAGCCUUACCUUUGAGGAGCACAGGGAAAUCAUGGAUAAACUGGCCCCAAAAUGCUGGGAAAGGUCCAAAUGGGUGAUUUUGCUGUGUGAUUGUGCCCAAAUCAGCUGCCAGGCUGAGCUUGGACAAGGAUGAAUUCCAGGCCUUCAACAGGCAGCAAUUCCAAGUAUUCCUCACUCUUAACAGCUCAGGAUUGCACAAAAACCUCAAUGAAAUCCUGCUCAAGGUGGAGCUGCCCCGUGAGGGCACAGAGGCCACGCACAAAGCACAGUUCAGGGCAGUGGGAGCAGGGAAAACUCCAAAUGUGGCUAAACUGGAGGAAUUCUGAGAGCAGCAGAAGGCACAGGCGCAGGGGUGUGGGGCUUGGCACACUUUGGCUUCAGGUCUGGAAGUCUGGCCUUUCCUUGGCUUCAGGUGUGGAGGUUUGGCCUUUCCUUGGCUUCAGGUGUGGAGAUUUGGCCUGUCUUGGGUUCAGGUGUGGAGGUUUGGCCUUUCCUUGGCUUCAGGCUAAACCCAACCUUACUGAAGCAGUGGCUUUAAGGGGCACUUUGCUGUCCUUUAUACCUAAAAUAAAGCCAAGGAAGAGCCGACUCCAGCCUAUUAAUGCAGCGUUUCCCGUCUCCCAUGAAUGUCACGGGCUCCCCUGAGGAAUUCUCCUUCGCAUGUUGUUCCAUCACAGAUGAAGUCUCCAAAGUGACCUUUUCAAGCAGCUGGAUGGCAGCAGGGAGGUGCCACAGCCAGAUCCUUGGCAGGAAUGGUCAGAUACGAUUUCCAUUUCCAGGCGUGUCAAAAGGCAUUUUCGUCCUCGUCGAAGGACCAGAAGCUGGAAGUUGAAAAUAAUGCUGGGC